AGAGACGUGGUGCCAAAGUCUGUGAAUUAUUAAACAGACUGAUACGAUUUAUCUGGGUAACCACGAGAACAAAAAAGGUCUUUCCCAAAGAUGUUAUUUUCUUUCUUCUGUAUUUGCACAAGGCAAGUAUUACAUUCCUCAUGACAGACCUUUUUUGGACUUCUGCAGUAGCCGUACAGAAGCCCUGACCCUGGCCGAGGCGGUCCUUGUUGUACUGUGGUCACAUUCCUGAGACGAGAAGUUCAAAGGGCACAGAGCAGCAGGGGUUUUAUGGAGCAUGACGGAAGUGAAUCAUGGACCAGUGUCCUCAGUCUGUCCACCAGUCUGCUCCGGCCGAGGCCCUCAUGCCCAGCUCUCACCCCCAGCCGUGGAGCUCAGAGGCUGGGGUAGACUGACGUCAAGGCCCCUCGUCUCUGUGAAAGGACUUCGUAGUUGCUGUAGAAAAGUGAACUGUGCAUCAUAUGGCUGCAGUUUGGGAAGGAAAACACUGGAGCCCUGAAAAAAGA